CAUCGCCGCCGGCCCCAACCCGCCACAGCAGCGCCUGCGCCCGGCCUCGCCGCGGCUGAGGGAGCGGCGCCCUCAGGCGGCUGGAGGCGCUGCCUCGUCUUGUAGUUGAGGGUCUUCUGAGGGCAGGGGUCAGCCAAAUCUCCCAGCUAGAUUACCAGGGAGUUCAGGAUUACACUUUCAAUGCCAAAUACACAUGUACUGGAAAAGAACUAGAUAAAUGGAUGACUAGGAAACACAGCAGAUUCAGCCUGCCAGAGGAGACUAGAAAGAAAUGGUGAAUUGAAACUUUCAGAGCUGGGGUUUGACAUCAGCAGAACAGAACAGAAGCAAAAAGCAGGGAACGCUAGGAUUCUCUCAGCUCAAUGUGGACCAAAGAUCAUGCAGACAAUGGCCUGAAGGCAAUCAGAAUUCAGUAGCAUGCAUACAACUGAAGCUUCUAGAAAUUCGGAUAAUUUAUGAGCACAAUAUACUAUGUGCCAAAAUCCUUUCUCAUUGCUGUGAGUCCUAGAGCUACAGAAAGAGGUCACUCACUGAACUUCACUGCCUUGUCUGUUAGUGAGCACUGCACCCAAAUCAGCUGAGGCAGAUAUGGGAUGACAUCCUCAGAAUUACCUUCCAGGAGUGCAGUUAUACUCGCUCCAACUGGAAAUGCCAUUUCUUCCAUUCCUGAGCAAUUAUGGAUCUUCU